AAUGAACGCUGGCGGCAUGCCUUACACAUGCAAGUCGAACGGCAGCACGGGGCAACCUGGUGGCGAGUGGCGAACGGGUGAGUAAUGCAUCGGAACGUACCUUUCAGUGGGGGAUAACGUAGCGAAAGUUACGCUAAUACCGCAUAUUCUGUGAGCAGGAAAGCAGGGGAUCGCAAGACCUUGCGCUGAUUGAGCGGCCGAUGUCAGAUUAGCUAGUUGGUGAGGUAAAGGCUCACCAAGGCGACGAUCUAUAGCGGGUCUGAGAGGAUGAUCCGCCACACUGGAACUGAGACACGGUCCAGACUCCUACGGGAGGCAGCAGUGGGGAAUUUUGGACAAUGGGGGCAACCCUGAUCCAGCCAUGCCGCGUGAGUGAAGAAGGCCUUCGGGUUGUAAAGCUCUUUCGGCCGGGAAGAAAUCGCACGGGCUAAUACCCUGUGUGGAUGACGGUACCGGAAUAAGAAGCACCGGCUAACUACGUGCCAGCCGCCGCCGUAAUAC
rnacentral:rRNA from 1 species